CUGCAUGGCGAGCUUACCAUGCAAGUCGACGGUCCUUUCGGGGAUAGUGGCGGACGGGUGAGUAACGCGUGAGAAUCUGCCUUUAGGACGGGGACAACAGUUGGAAACGGCUGCUAAAACCCGAUGUGCCCUUCGGGGUGAAAUAUUUAUAGCCUGAAGAUGAGCUCGCGUCUGAUUAGCUAGUAGGUGAGGUAAAGGCUCACCUAGGCGACGAUCAGUAACUGGUCUGAGAGGAUGACCAGUCACACUGGGACUGAGACACGGCCCAGACUCCUACGGGAGGCAGCAGUGGGGAAUUUUCCGCAAUGGGCGCAAGCCUGACGGAGCAAUACCGCGUGAGGGAGGAAGGCUCUUGGGUCGUAAACCUCUUUUAUCAGGGAAGAACACAAUGACGGUACCUGAUGAAUCAGCAUCGGCUAACUCUGUGCCAGCAGCCGCGGUAAUACAGAGGAUGCAAGCGUUAUCCGGAAUUAUUGGGCGUAAAGCGUCCGCAGGUGGUUUUGAAAGUUUGCUGUCAAAGCGCGAGGCUCAACUUCGUAACGGCGGUGAAAACUUCAAGACUAGAGCUAGGUAGGGGUCACGGGAAUUCCCAGUGUAGCGGUGAAAUGCGUAGAUAUUGGGAAGAACACCAGCGGCGAAAGCGCGUGACUGGGCCUGAGCUGACACUCAUGGACGAAAGCUAGGGGAGCGAAAGGGAUUAGAUACCCCUGUAGUCCUAGCCGUAAACGAUGACAACUAGGUGUUGCCCGUAUCGACCCGGGCAGUGCCGUAGCCAACGCGUUAAGUUGUCCGCCUGGGGAGUACGCACGCAAGUGUGAAACUCAAAGGAAUUGACGG
rnacentral:rRNA from 1 species